rnacentral:rRNA from 1 species
AGAGUUUGAUCCUGGCUCAGAUUGAACGCUGGCGGCAUGCCUUACACAUGCAAGUCGAACGGUAACAGGUCUUCGGAUGCUGACGAGUGGCGAACGGGUGAGUAAUACAUCGGAACGUGCCCAGUAAUGGGGGAUAGCUCGGCGAAAGCCGGAUUAAUACCGCAUACGCCCUGAGGGGGAAAGUGGGGGAUCGCAAGACCUCACGUUAUUGGAGCGGCCGAUGGCUGAUUAGCUAGUUGGUAGGGUAAAGGCCUACCAAGGCGACGAUCAGUAGCUGGUCUGAGAGGACGAUCAGCCACACUGGGACUGAGACACGGCCCAGACUCCUACGGGAGGCAGCAGUGGGGAAUUUUGGACAAUGGGGGAAACCCUGAUCCAGCAAUGCCGCGUGUGCGAAGAAGGCCUUCGGG